rnacentral:rRNA from 1 species
GACGAACGCUGGCGGCGCGCUUAACACAUGCAAGUCGAGCGAAGCGGCGGACGGGUGAGUAACACGUGAGUAAACUGCCUUAGCCAUUGGGAUAGCAUCGGGAAACCGGGAUAAAUACACAAUGGUCUAAGAUGGACUCGCGUCCCAUAAGAUAGUUGGUGAGGUAACGGCCCAACAAGGCGACGAUGGGUAGCCGGCCUGAGAGACUGAACGGCCACAUUGGAACUGGGAAACGGUCCAAACUCUAGGGGAGGCAGCAGUGGGGAAUAUUGCACAAUGGAGGGAACUCUGAUGCACCGACGCCGCGUGAACGAAGAAGGCUUUCGAGUCGUAAAGUUCUUUUAUAUGGGAAGCGGUACCAUAAGAAAAAGCCCCGGCUAACUACGUGCCAGCCGCCGCGGUAAUUC